rnacentral:rRNA from 1 species
CGUGUAGGCGGUACCAUUAGUCAGAUGUGAAAGCCCUGGGCUUAACCUAGGAGGUGCAUUUGAUACUGUGGAACUUGAGAUCGAGAGAGGAAAGUGGAAUUACGAGUGUAGAGGUGAAAUUCGUAGAUAUUCGUAAGAACACCAGUGGCGAAGGCGGCUUUCUGGCUCGAUACUGACGCUAAGACGCGAAAGCGUGGGGAGCAAACAGGAUUAGAUACCCUGGUAGUCCACGCUGUAAACGAUGAGUGCUAGAUGUUGGCGGAGGAAUUCGUCAGUGUCGCAGCUAACGCGUUAAGCACUCCGCCUGGGGAGUACGGUCGCAAGAUUAAA